rnacentral:rRNA from 1 species
CGAAGCAACGCGAUGAACCUUACCAGGUCUUGACAUCCCACUGACCGGUAUAGAGAUAUACCUUUCCCUUCGGGGACAGUGGUGACAGGUGGUGCAUGGUUGUCGUCAGCUCGUGUCGUGAGAUGUUGGGUUAAGUCCCGCAACGAGCGCAACCCUUGAUCUUAGUUGCCAGCAUUCAGUUGGGCACUCUAAGGUGACUGCCGGUGACAAACCGGAGGAAGGUGGGGAUGACGUCAAAUCAUCAUGCCCCUUAUGACCUGGGCUACACACGUGCUACAAUGGAUGGUACAAAGGGCUGCAAGACUGCGAAGUCAAGCGAAUCCCAUAAAACCAUUCUCAGUUCGGAUUGCAGGCUGCAACUCGCCUGCAUGAAGCCGGAAUCGCUAGUAAUCGCGGAUCAGCAUGCCGCGGUGAAUACGUUCCCGGGCCUUGUACACACCGCCCGUCACACCACGAGGGUUUGUAACACCCGAAGUCGGUGGGGUAACCGUAAGGAGCCAGCCGCCUAAGGUGGGA